rnacentral:rRNA from 1 species
UACAUAGGUGGCAAGCGUUGUCCGGAAUGACUGGGCGUAAAGGGAGCGUAGGCGGUCUGUUAAGUUGGAAGUGAAAUCCCGGGGCUCGACCCCGGAACUGCUUUCAAGACUGACGGACUUGAGUGUAAGAGGGGUAAGCGGAAUUCCUAGUGUAGCGGUGGAAUGCGUAGAUAUAUGGAAGAACACCAGUGGCGAAAGCGGCUCUCUGGUCUGUAACUGACGCUGAAGCACGAAGGCGUGGGUAUCGAACAGG